rnacentral:lncRNA from 1 species
AGCCUGGGAACCUCCAUAUGCUGUGGGUGUGGCCCUUAAAAAAAGAAAAAAUGAAAAUAAAAAAAUAAAAACAUUAAAAAUAUCAAAGUUUUUUGCAGAAUUCAAUUCAAAAUCAUUCAAUAUAUGUAAGAGUUUCUUGGUUUGGCAGAUCUUCCUAAGGGCUCUGUGACCAACUAUUGAAGACUUCACACUGCCCAACUCCAGGGGACACAAUUCACAUAGACUUCAUGUGCAUGAUCCUUCAUCCUGCCACCUUGAAGUCUGUACAGCACAGCAACCUCUGUCUACUCAGGAACCAAUCAAACAAGAUGAACCACUGCUCAAGAAAGGAAAUCACAGUUAAGUGAGGUUUCAGGAAGAAAAGGACAAUUCAAGGAGUCAUGAAAGCUUCAUUCUGGUGUUGGUUCUGCCAAUAACUAAUUAUGUGACUCACAGUGCUCUUUUCUGGGACUCUGUUCCUUUCUCUGCAAAAUAAAAGAAGUUUGACCAGAUGCUCUCUACA